UUCAGGAAGUGGCGGGGUGGUGAGGGUGAGGGAAGUGGGUUAGUGUUCAUGGGUUCAAUGUCCAUUCAGAAAUCAGAUGGCAGAGGAGAAGAAGCUAUUCCUGAAUCAUUCCAAGGAGCGAUUUAGCCUGUCCUGCUCCAACCUCAGGAGGCUAAAGUAAUUUCAGAUGGGUGCACUUCAUGUGGGUGUAGUGCAAAUCUGACAGAGUGAUACUCAGAAAUCAGGACAUAGAAGAGGAGUUGCUAUUCUCAUCUCAAGCAAGCUGAAUUUUGAAAAAGUAUUCGAAAUGGGAGAUAAGGAGGGCAGACAUAUUCUGACCCUACCAACAGAGAUUAACCAAAAUCAAUUCAAUGAAUGGAACAAGAUGCUAACAAGAUAUAUAUGGCAAGG